rnacentral:misc_RNA from 1 species
UUUCAAACAACAUUGGUAGAUUACCAGUGGCAAGUUGGCUGGCCAUCAUAGAAGCCAAUGCUGGAUUGACAGGAUAUCCACUUAACCCAUAGUUUGAAAGAGAUGAGUUUGCAUUAUCUACAUGCUGAUACUGCAGAGGUAAGCCACCUCCACUAUUAACAGUGUUGGUCGGUGAUCCUUUCACGUAAGAAUUACCAGAAGGAAAACCAGAUUUCUGCAGCUCAACCUGCCUAUCAACUAUCAAGGAUGAAUUGUUCAGGUCUGACCCACUACCAUUGCUUUUAGCCAAAUCAGAGUAGGAAAUCUUUGCUGAUUGAGCAAGAGAAGGCAUAUGUAAAUGUCUAGAUUCAGCCUUCUUUAGGUAUGCAUUUUGCUUCACAUGAUUCUGACCUCCUUUGAGACCAAAGAUAUCAACAUCCUCUUGGUUUUCUUCAUCA